UACUCGAGUGGCGAACGGGUGAGUAACACGUGGGUGAUCUGCCCUGCACUUCGGGAUAAGCCUGGGAAACUGGGUCUAAUACCGGAUAGGACGAUGGUUUGGAUGCCAUUGUGGAAAGUUUUUCGGUGUGGGAUGAGCUCGCGGCCUAUCCGCUUGUUGGUGGGGUAAUGGCCUACCAAGGCGUCGACGGGUAGCCGGCCUGAGAGGGUGUACGGCCACAUUGGGACUGAGAUACGGCCCAG
rnacentral:rRNA from 1 species